UGCCCAGCAACUCCUAUCCCUACCUCCUCGUGGUACCGGCCGGAAACUAUGAGCAACCUAAGGGAAGA
rnacentral:ribozyme from 1 species